rnacentral:rRNA from 1 species
ACACUGUAAACGAUGAAUGCUAGGUGUAGGAGGUAUCGACCCCUUCUGUGCCGCAGUUAACACAAUAAGCAUUCCGCCUGGGGAGUACGGCCGCAAGGUUGAAACUCAAAGGAAUUGACGGGGGCCCGCACAAGCAGCGGAGCAUGUGGUUUAAUUCGACGCAACGCGAAGAACCUUACCAGGUCUUGACAUCCAGUAAAUCCUGUAGAGAUACAGAGUGUCUUCGGACAUACUGAGACAGGUGGUGCAUGGUUGUCGUCAGCUCGUGUCGUGAGAUGUUGGGUUAAGUCCCGCAACGAGCGCAACCCUUAUGUUCAGUUACUAACUGGAAAGCAGAGGACUCUGAACAGACUGCCGGGGACAACUCGGAGGAAGGUGGGGACGACGUCAAAUCAUCAUGCCCCUUAUGACCUGGGCUACACACGUGCUACAAUGGCCACCACAAAGAGAAGCGAUCCUGCAAGGGGGAGCGGAUCUCAAAAAAGUGGUCCCAGUUCGGAUUGUAGGCUGCGACUCGCCUACAUGAAGUCGGAAUCGCUAGUAAUCGCGGAUCAGCACGCCGCGGUGAAUACGUUCCCGGGCCUUGUACACACCGCCCGUCACACCACGAGAGUUUGUAACACCCGAAGUCGGUGAGGUAACCUUUUGGAGCCAGCCGCCUAAGGUGGGAUAGAUGAUUGGGGUG